UUAUGUAACUGUCAACUAACGGUCAACUAACGGUAGUGCCAUAUUUGUACCCCAUGAAAAAUUUGAGCGGCAAUUUUGAAACAACAAAAUUCUGAGUGACAUUUGGGCAUAUGGCCAAAAUUUGAGUGGCAGAUAUGGAAUUCUCUCUCUGAUCUUUGCUAGGUGUUCAAUGUUGGUGGCGCCUUCUGUCCGAGGAGUGAGACAGCAGGGUCGGGUUCCAUGAUCACCAGGGCAACAUUCUAGACCGUCUAUGGGGCAAGAUCUUAAUUAAAUAGACCUGUAUUCUUUGAAAUUUUGAUACUGAGUCUAUUUUGUAGAUCGGCAAUACAACGAAUGAGAUCUAUAAUAUGUCAACAUUUGGUCAAGAAAACAAACAAAAAAAAGAUGUCCAAUUCCUGCAGCUAGGCCAAACACAAAUUAAAGUAGGGAACCAAUCACACCGUAUGGUAGGCCAAACACAAAUGAGAUCUAUUUUGUAAGUAGUGACCAUCGCAUCUCUCUCCUUCUGAAGGUAGGAAGAAAUAGGAAAAAGGAGCAAAAAUAAAGAAGCAUGUCCUGUCCUAGCAAAUACGGGCAAC
rnacentral:lncRNA from 1 species